GACGAACGCUGGCGGCAGGCUUAACACAUGCAAGUCGAACGAGUGGAGGACGGGUGAGUAAUGCUUGGGAAUCUGGCUUCUGGAGGGGGAUAACGACGGGAAACUGUCGCUAAUAACGCGUACCAUAGGAAGAGUCCAAGUGGGAUUAGGUGGUUGGUGGGGGAAGGGCCGAACAAGCUGACGAGCUCUAGCUGUUCUGUGAGGAUGACCAGCCACACCGGAACUGAGAGACGGCCCUGACUCCGACGUGAGGCAGCAGUGGGGAAUAUUGCGAAAUGGGGGCAACCCUGACGCAGCCAUGCAGCGUGAAUGAAGAAGGCCUUCGGGUUGUAAAGUUCUUUAGGUAUUGAGGCGUUAAAUACAGAAGAAGCACCGGCUAACUCCGUGCCAGCAGCCGCGGUAAUUC
rnacentral:rRNA from 1 species